UUGUUAACACUUGACUUGACCAGUUGGUUAAACCUUUCCUUGGAAUGAAUAAUUAACCAAACAAUUUAAAACUGAUAAAUAAAUAUUUUAAAGGAAACAAUAAAAACAAAAAAUGAAAAUAAAGACGAAAAAAUUAAUGCUGACAUCUAUCAACACUUUUUCUGGUUAUCUAUUAAUUUUUCGUCUCUUCAAUUUUAAUAUCUUACAUAAAUUGACGAUAAAUGGACUCUUUUUAAAUAAAACUUAAAUUACAAUUUAAAGGUUUUAAUGUUGAUUUACCUUUGCUUAAACUUGUUCCCAUUUAAUAACUGUACAAUUUUAACCCCAACUCAAACAAUUAACUAAAACGAUUUUCCCUCUAAUCUCAUAAAAUGUUGUGUUUUUGGUGCCUUUAUUUUCCCCAAAUGAGCCUACUUUAAUUAACAUCCAUCUUAAUCCUGAUUGUGUAUAAUCUUUAAAUUAUAAGGAUUUUAAUUGAAAAAGCUCAACAUUUGUUGUGUAUAAAAGGAACAGCUUUCUCGUUUAAUUGGUUCCCAGACCCUUUCUUGGUUCAUCUCAGGCCUAACUCAGGUCUUGCUCUUGUCUCAGGCCUAACUUUGUUUCAAAUUAAUCUAACUGUAAUUGUAAACCUAACUAAUGGAGUUACAAUUUUCAAGCGAGGAUAAAUUGUAAUUUAAGUUGCUACACAUAUUUCAAUUAGAUAUAAAGUUGCUAUUUUUAGGGUUAAAUGAGCCUCUGUGAUAAAAUCAUUAUUACACUGACGAUAAUCAACAUUACCACCGUUAACACUCUGAAAGGUGUAACAAUUGAAACCAUUUAGCUGGUUAAAUUACACGUUUAAUCUAAAUGUUAAUUCGUAUUUCAAUCUUGCGUAUAUUUCAACAAUUGCUUCAACAUUCAACCAACUGAUGAAAUGUAUAAUAAGCUGUUGAUUGUAGCAAUUAUCAAUAAUCUUGCUGUUGUCCAAGGGAAACAAUUUACUAAUCAAAAAUAGCUGGCAGCUUAAACCGCAAAAAAAGCAGCGAAAAAAUGAAAACUCAUUUUCUGUUUAAAUGUAAAUUAGUAAACAAAAUGUAAAAUCAUUUCUAAAUGAUGAUUUUUGAAACUGCUGUUAACUGCCAAUUAUCACACAUCAACUCUUGAUUAACUGUGAAUUAUAAUCUACCGUUUAAUAUGCAACAUUUGUAUUUAAAAAUAUAAAACAAUUGUCUUUCAGGAAUCAACAGUUUGACCAUAACAAACCCUGACAGUUGAUUGAAACAUUUGGUCUAAAAUGUUAAUGUUGAUAAGCAAUAUACAUUAACCCUCAAGGCUGAUUUCAAUCAACUAAUCAACAAUUCCUUGUGACCUGUUUAGUUUUAAUCAAUUGAUUAGCUGUUGAUUUUACCAAUCAAACUGUCUGCUUCAUUUGUUUACUUCAAUCUAUUUUUAGGUACAAGGUGAGUUGACAUUCAAUCAGUUUUGAAUCAAACUUUCAUUUCCCUGUUUACUGUUUCAUGUUUACACUACAUUUCAAUCUGAUAAUCAAUCUGUCAAAUGACAACAAUCAACUGCUCAUCUAAUUGUUGAUAAACAUCAUCUUUAAUCAUGACCUUUUUCAAUGGUUUCAAGGGACACACAAAGGCCUCAAUCAAGAAACAAGUGUUUCCAUUUUAGGUGAAAAAAUAUGAUUGAUUAUUGGGUUAAGCUAAUUGUUUCAGUUUGUCGUUUGUCACUCUAUUUAAUUAACUCAAUGGUUAACAUCUAGAUUAAGAUGAAUAAAUCUUUAAACAUUAAUCUGUGUCAGUUUCCAUGUCAAUUACAGUUUAACAAGUUGAUUCAGUUGGUCUUCAUUUGCUUUUAACAGUUACCAGUUUGGGCACACAAUUGAAUGAUAAUUAAUUAUCUUCUGUCAAACAUUUACUUUUCUGCAUUUAACCAAUCAUUAAUUAACCAAGAUUGUUAACCAAAUCAAUUUGAAACAUUAAACAGAUUGAAAGUUAAUUUUAAAUGAAACCUUUUCACAGUUUGGAAGCUGAGAAACAUUGAUAAGUAAACAGAUGAACCAAAAAUAUUCCCAUGUAAUUGUAACAAUUAAAGGAUAUGGAAAUAUCAACAGCUAACAAUUGUUUGGUUAAAGAUGGUCAAAUGUAAUUUGACUUAAAGUGUGCCAAUUAACGGACUAGAGUUGUAUGUUCAAUUGUAUAAGUUGAAGCAAUUGUUAAUUUUUGUAAGCGAUGGGUUAAGUGUUUAACAUGUUUAUCAUUUUCACUGUAUGGCUUGUUAAUUGUUAUCGUUGGUUGAAUUUCAAUUGGCAAGUGAUUGACUGUUUUCCUGAUUGAAAACAGAUGAAUGUAGAUAAUUAAUCAUUUGUUAGAGAAGAUGAAACUUCUUUUGUGUCAAAUUUGGUCAUUACAAUUUGAGCCAGCAAUAAACAGCGUUCAUUUACAGUUGCAAUUCCGGGAAUCAGCAAAUUUGGUGUGAGUUUGUUUUCUUAAAUUGCAGUUUCAAAUUGAAUUCUGGUUAAAAGGGUUAACACAUUAAAAAUUGACUGCAGCCCAAAAUAAAUUACAAGAAACCAAAGUCCAUCCAAUGAGUUUGUAUACAGUUUGUAAUACUUGGAGGCUUUUUUUAUACUGAUCAUCAUGAUAACUGUUUAAGUUUAAAUUCAACAUAAACUUAACUAUUUAACUGCAAGGAAAGGGUCCAAUAAAGUUGCGUUUGAUUUGCUAUUUAAAUCCUGUUAUUGCUGUCCUUUUCUUGGUCCACUCAAAUAUCUGAAUGGUUUAAUAAAGAAAACGUAGAAAUCGACCAGAAAAUCAAUUAAUAUCACGCAAACUUGAGUCACAAUUAACCAUUAAAAUGAGUCAGUUAACAGGAAUAGGGAAACAAACUUGAUUACAAACCAAUUCAAAUUUAAUUUUAGGCUCUUUUCAAAUUUAACUGUCAACCAUUUAAUCAAUCAAUUAUCAUUUGAUACAUUACCAAAACAGGUGUAACCAAAAUAUUUAGACAAUCCUUUGAUU